GACUGUGUGUGAGAGGGAUACAGAGACACAGGGCUCAGACUGUGUGUGAGAUGGACACAGAGACACAGGGCUCAGACUGUGUGUGAGAUGGACACAGAGACACAGGGGUCAGACUGUGUGUGAGAUGGACACAGAGACACGGGUCAGACUGUGUGUGAGACAGAGACACAGGGACACAGGGGUCAGACUGUGUGUGAGACGGACACAGGGGUCAGACUGUGUGUGAGAACAGAGACACAGGGGUCAGACUGUGUGUGAGACAGGGACACAGAGACACAGGGGCCAGACUGUGUGUGAGACAGGGACACAGAGACACAGGGGUCAGACUGUGUGUGAGAGGGACAGAGAGACACAGGGGCCAGACUGUGUGUGAGAGGGACACAGAGACACAGGGGUCAGACUGUGUGUGAGACAGGGACACAGAGACACAGGGCUCAGACUGUGUGUGAGAUGGACACAGAGACACAGGGGUCAGACUGUGUGUGAGAGGGACACAGAGACACAGGGGCCAGACUGUGUGUGAGACAGGGACACAGAGACACAGCGGUCAGACUGUGUGUGAGAGGGACAGAGAGACACAGGGGCCAGACUGUGUGUGAGACAGGGACACAGAGACACAGGGGCCAGACUGUGUGUGAGACAGGGACACAGAGACACAGGGGUCAGACUGUGUGUGAGAGGGGGCAGCAGAGGGGUUUCCUCCUCGCUGUGCGUAUAGAGAGCCCUGGUGAGAGGCGUGGUCAGGCGCAGACGGACGUUAGCACAGGAGAGGAUAAAAGACAUGGCGGCUGUGAGGAAGGCCCUGGCGCUCUGCUCUACCGCUAACCUGCUCCAGCCCCCCCUCCGGUCAACAGCGUAAAUGUGCUGAAUAAUUUAGCUGCACUCAAGGGUCAGCGGAUGGACGUGUGUGUGUGUGUGUGUGUGUGUGUGUUUGAGUUUGUGUUUGUGCACAUUCCUGUGUGUACAGUGGUCUCUCUCUCUCUCUCUUUCUUUCUCUCUCGCUCUCUCACACUUUCUCUACUCCUCUGUGAGCCCCUGUAGGCGUUUAGAUUACUGGCUGACGUACUGCUCCGGUGUUACUAAAUUGUUCCAUGAUUUCAGCACAUUUACUUUAAUCACACUGCACUUUGUCUGAAUGUGUAACAGGCACAUAAUGACACAUAAACAUAGGCUCGGAUAUGGGUUGCAGCGAAGCAUAAUCGUCUCCUGAAAUCACUGUCCAAAAAACUACAGGUCCCAGAAGUCCGAGGGAGAGUACCACAUCUCUUCAUUGUCCUGUCUGCCUGCUGUAGAUCUGUGUUUACUGUGCCUGCCAGCGAGUGUGCGAUGGACAGGCUGAAAUAAUAGACGGCGGAUUUGAUUGAGGAGGACAAGGGUAUGAAUUGUCGGUGUUUCGGUGGUCUGGCGCUAAAUGAGCCGCUCGCAGAAGGGCUUUAUGGGUAGUGCUUCUUGAGGAAGUACUCCGAGCCUGCUUUAGUUUCUGCUUAGUGUCGUCCACGGUCGCCAGUAGCUUCCCUUUCUCCUCUGUCUGUUUGGAGUUUUAUGAAUUUUCCUUAGUAUGAAUGCUUUGGAAACAGCUGUGAAGCCUAGCAAGCAUUUGUCAUCUUUGGCUUACUAAUAGAUGUGAUUUUGUCUUUCUUUCUUUGCAAACACAGUAUGGAAAGUUAAUUUAGGUGAUUUUUGAAGUCAUGAAAAGGAAAGGCUAACUCUUCUGUUGAACUGUUAUGGCUGAAUGUUAAUUCAGGCCAGGCUUGCGUCUGUGUUAAUAGUUGUACGCAAUGUCGUGUUUUGUUGGUGUAAUUACCAGUGAGCGAUGGCCGCCUCUGGGUUUUUGUUUUUGGGUGGUUAAUCCACCCCACCGUGCGUGUAUGCCCAGGAGCACAGGAGAAUCUCCUGCUACCGAUCGGCGGGAGGCCAAUCCCAGCAUGCUUGGCGGUGCCACCCACUCAGCGCUGUGCAGAAGCUCCUCAGAGCCUCGCGGCCUACGCGGGAUGCCUGGCAGCUCUGUCUAGCUCCUGCUGUGCCCACUCUGAGAGGGUUCUGUGUGGAACAGAGAGUUCUGCAUGUGGUACAGAGGGUUAUGUGUGUAGUACAGAGAGGGUUCUGUGUGUGGAACAGAGAGUUCUGUGUGUGGUACAGAGGAUUCUGUGUGUGGAACAGAGGGUUCUGUGUGUAGUACAGAAAGUCUUCUGUGUGUAGUACAGAGAGUUCUUUGUGUGGUACAGAGGGUUCUGUGUGUAGUACAGAGAGUUCUGUGUGUGGAACAGUGGAUUAAGUCUAUAGUACAGAGAGGGUUCUGUGUGUGGAACUGUUUGUAGUACCAGAGGGUUCUGUGUGUGGUACAGAGGGUGAUGCAGGGGGGAUUAGUGUACAGUGAGUUGGCUGGCCCAGGUGAUGCAGGGGGGAUUAGUGUACAGUGAGAUAGCUGGCCCGGUUGAUGCAGAGGGG